AGCGGAGUGAUGUUUGGUCGUUUGUGAAAGAGGCAGCAUUUUCUUGUCCGGCCUCCAGGUGUUCGAAGCCCCCCUCCUUGAUAGCACAGACCACCUGAGCCAUUUUUACCGACGUUCCGUGGGAUCGUCUGAGCCAAAGCUACUUGGUUGUGGAAUGACGUGGGUCACAGGAUGGGAAGAAAUAAGAGAAAAGAAACAAAACAACACACACACACACACACACACACACACACACACACACACACACAGAGAGAGAGAGAGAGAGAGAGAGAGAGAGAGAGUACGUAUGUAUAUAGACAUCACAAGAAAUUGAAUAAAAGAGAUGUGACAUUAUGAAGAUCUGCUGCCAUGCCUCGGGGGAGCAAACCGUUCAGGGCUCUCUCAAGUUCUCCUCCAACUUUUGUGUCCAGAGUGGUGCUACUCCUCUAGACAAAACUAUUUCUCAAUCAUCACCUUCAGUGGACGUGCACUUCCUCAAUUUCAGAUGGAAAUCUCUUCUAGGAGUGGGGAGGUGGAAGGAGACGUACGGGUGACACGACAGCUGUUGCUUCGCUGUGGAGGGUGUGAUGUAAUUUAAAUAAUCAUCCUAGCAUUCACUAACUGGGAUUUAUGGCAAACGUCUUACUACUGUAGCAUUUCACUCUGUGACAUUCUUGUGGAUCUGAACUGUCAAUUGUGAAUAUCGUAACUGUUGUAACCGGAAAGACAGAAGGGCUCACUCUUGAAGCAGUUGCUCGUCUUUAAAGUGCUCCGUUCCUGAGUCUUCAUAAUUAAUUUGUAACUUGAUUUUUGUAAACUUUUUGUUCCUUUUAAUGUCUAUCUGUUUUCUCUAUUUAUGUAUAUUUAUUGACAGCCGAAUAAAGAUGUACAAAAAGUUUUCUAAUCUCAGAAAA